rnacentral:rRNA from 1 species
GGGAUUGUGCCAGCAGCCGCGGUAAUACGUAGGGUGCGAGCGUUGUCCGGAAUUACUGGGCGUAAAGAGCUCGUAGGUGGUUUGUCGCGUUGUUCGUGAAAUCUCACGGCUUAACUGUGAGCGUGCGGGCGAUACGGGCAGACUGGAGUWCUGCAGGGGAGACUGGAAUUCCUGGUGUAGCGGUGGAAUGCGCAGAUAUCAGGAGGAACACCGGUGGCGAAGGCGGGUCUCUGGGCAGUAACUGACGCUGAGGAGCGAAAGCUGGGGAGCGAACAGGAUUAGAUACCCUGGUAGUCCACGCCGUAAACGGUGGGUACUAGGUGUGGGUUUCCUUCCUUGGGAUCCGUGCCGUAGCUAACGCAUUAAGUACCCCGCCUGGGGAGUACGGCCGCAAGGCUAAAAACUCAAAGGAAUUGACGGGGGCCCGCACAAGCGGCGGAGCAUGUGGAUUAAUUCGAUGCAACGCGAAGAACCUUACCUGGGUUUGACAUGCACAGGACGCCGGCAGAGAUGUCGGUUCCCUUGUGGCCUGUGUGCAGGUGGUGCAUGGCUGUCGUCAGCUCGUGUCGUGAGAUGUUGGGUUAAGUCCCGCAACGAGCGCAACCCUUGUCUCAUGUUGCCAGCGGGUAAUGCCGGGGACUCGUGAGAGACUGCCGGGGUCAACUCGGAGGAAGGUGGGGAUGACGUCAAGUCAUCAUGCCCCUUAUGUCCAGGGCUUCACACAUGCUACAAUGGCCGGUACAAAGGGCUGCGAUGCCGCGAGGUUAAGCGAAUCCUUUUAAAGCCGGUCUCAGUUCGGAUCGGGGUCUGCAACUCGACCCCGUGAAGUCGGAGUCGCUAGUAAUCGCAGAUCAGCAACGCUGCGGUGAAUACGUUCCCGGGCCUUGCACACACCGCCCGUC